AACGGCGAGUGAAGAGGGAAAAGCCCAAAUUUGUAAUCUGGCCUUUCUUGAAAAGGUCCGAAUUGUAAUUUUGAGAACUGUUUUCUGUGCUGGACCAUGUACAAGUCUGUUGAAAAACAGCAUCAUUGAGGGUGAAAAUCCCGUAGAUGAUAUGGACUACCAGGGCAAUAUGAUACAGUCUCUAAGAGUCGAGUUGUUUGGGAAUGCAGCUCAAAGUGGGUGGUAAAUUCCAUCUAAGGCUAAAUAUAGGUGAGAGACCGAUAGCAAACAAGUACCGUGAGGGAAAGAUGAAAAGAACUUUGGAAAGAGAGUUAACAGUACGUGAAAUUGUUAAAAGGGAAACAUUUGAAGUUAGACUUGUUAUUGUUGGAUCAGCUUCUUUAUUGAGGUGUAUUCUGAUGAUUAACAGACCAGCAUCAAUUUUUGAGUGCCGGAAAAAGGUAUUGGGAAUGUAGCAUCCCUCUGGUUGUGUUAUAGACCUUUACUUCAGAAUACGGUGCUUAGGAUUGAGGAACGCGGUAAGCUUUGUUGCAGAACCUUGUUAAACACAGGGGUCUCCUUACUA
rnacentral:rRNA from 1 species